AUUACAUUUAGGGAAAUCCAAAAUGCUGAAAUGUUACAACCCUACUGACUUUGGAACGAAUACAAAAAAGGGGAUAAUCUGCUAAAUUGAGAGUAGAUAAAAUAACAUAGCGUAUAACUGUGAGAGAAUCACAAAAGGUAUGUUUACAAUUGGCCACUCACAAAUUCAGAUGUAAAACGCCCUUAAGUAAAAUUCCUCCUUCAAUGUCAGCUGGGUUCUUUCAUCAUCAUACUUCCAUCAAUAGGUUGGAAUGUGUUGCUCAAGAGAGAAUAUAGAGAAAGCAAAAAAAAAA